rnacentral:rRNA from 1 species
GCUUACGGCCAUACCACCCUGAAUGCGCCCGAUCUCGUCUGAUCUCGGAAGCUAAGCGGGUCAGGCCUGGUUAGUACUUGGAUGGGAGACCGCCUGGGAAUACCAGUGCUGUAAGCU